GCGAAAGCCUGACGCAGCGACGCCGCGUGAGGGAAGAAGGCCUUCGGGNUGUAAACCUCUGUCAGGGGGAAAGAUAAUGACGGUACCUCCAAAGGAAGCUUCGGCUAACUACGUGCCAGCAGCCGCGGUAAAACGUAGGGAGCAAGCGUUGUCCGGAAUUACUGGGCGUAAAGAGCUCGUAGGCGGUUUUAUAAGUCAAGGAGUAAAUCCGUUGGCUCAACUGACGGUUCAUCUUUGAUACUGUAGGACUAGAGGUCAGAAGGGGAAAGCGGAAUUCCCGGUGUAGCGGUGAAAUGCGUAGAUAUCGGGAAGAACACCAGUGGCGAAGGCGGCUUUCUGGUCUGAUACUGACGCUGAGGAGCGAAAGCGUGGGGAGCGAACGGGAUUAGAUACCCCGGUAGUCCACGCUGUAAACGAUGGAUACUAGGUGUAGGUGGUGUUAAAGCCUUCUGUGCCGCANGUNACCCAAUAAGUAUCCCGCCUGGGGACUACNAUCGCAAGAUUAAAACUCAAAUGAAU
rnacentral:rRNA from 1 species